rnacentral:piRNA from 1 species
UCCAAGUUGAAACUUCAGGCUGCAGAAGC